AAAACUUAUCAGGUUUAAUUGAUAGAUUGAGAGUUCUUUCUUGAUUUUAUGAGAGGUGGUGCAUGGUUGUUCUUGGUGGAGUGAUUUGUCUGGUUAAUUUUGAUAACGAACAAGACUUCAACCUGAUAGCUAACUAUGUGGAGGUUCCCUUUCACGACCAACUUCUUAGAGGGACUAUGGUCGUUUAGGCCAUGGAAGUGUGGAGCCUGCGACUUAAUUUAUGCAAGGAUCAAGAGUAGCUUUUAACAUUAAUGUGUCAAUAAAUAAACUAAUAGGAAAGCAAGUUUCAAAGAAUAUCAAAGUAGAUUAAAAUCAGUAUAGGCCUAGCGUCAAAGAAUCUAGCAAUAAUGAGCAUUGUCUAAAGU
rnacentral:ncRNA from 1 species